rnacentral:rRNA from 1 species
AUGGAGAUGGAGAUGCAGACGGCGGCGGCGGACAUGGACUUCAACGCCCUCUCGCGCCGCGAGCUCCAGGCGCUCUGCAAGCUCAACGGCGUCCGCGCCAACAUGACCAACCUCGCCAUGGUCGAGGCCCUCCAGUCCCUCGCCGCGGUGGAUGGGAUCGACCAGAUCGGCACCACGCUCUGCCUCCCGACCCCGGGCAAGUCGGCGAUGAAGUCGGUCCUCAAGGCCGCGCCGGCGGCCGGGGAGGACCAGCAGCAUCUAGGAAGCCCGCUCCCGCGCGGCCGCCGCGUCUCGGUCAAGUCGCCCGAGGCCAUCCGGAUGGAAGUCGAGGAGGGCGAGGACGAGGUGAAGCGGAAUCUCGUCAAGGAGAUCGUGCGCACCCCUGGCGUCGCGCUGCGCAGCACCAGCCGCCGCCCGCGGGCCACGCCCGCGCCCCUCCCCCCGACUCCCGCGGCGGGCACUCUGCGGAGGAGCCAGAGGUCGAUUAAGAAGACCGAGAAGGCCAUGGAGGUCGAGGUGUCCACCACAAAGAGAUCGACUAGGAAGACGGCGAGAUCGAAGGCGAUGUUUGAUUUGGACCAGGAAGAAGCGGAUUCGACCGAACUCAAGGAGGAGAAGGUGCAUGAAGCAGAGCCCAAGGGCGUUACUUCUGAUGAGAAGUGCGAUGAUCCUGAGGAGGAGGAGGAGGAAGUUACAAAGCUUCCGGAAGAAGGAAACAGCAAAGCGGAUGAACCUGAGCAGGGAGAUGAAGUGGUUUCUUCUGUUGUGCCCACUGAAUCUGCUGACAAGAGCUGUGAAGAUUCUAAGCUGGAGGAAGUUGUGGAAGAGGCUACCAAGCUCCAGGAAGAAGCUGCAGUUGAGGAAGAACAGAAGCUUGCCAGUGCUGAGAAGUCUGUUCCCUUGUCCGCAAUGGAGGAUUCACCUAUCUUAGGUGUCCUUUCCAAGGCCACACCUGAACUAGCUAUCAAAAACGUUGAAGGUGCCUCAACUGAAGAUGGUGAAAGCAGCAAAUGGUCACCUGUGUUCGAGAUAGUUGAUGAGAUCAACAGUGCCAGUGAAGAAAAGGAAGUAGCUGCUGUUGAAGUGCCAAAGGAAGCCAUCAACGAAGACGAUUUCAGUUCCACCGCCGAGGCAUCUGAUGUCCCUAACAAGAUGAUCCCACCUGCUGUGACAGAGAAGGAAGUCGCUGGUGAUGAUUUGAAGGAAGAUGCUUUCAAUUCCACCGUUGAGGCUUCUGAUGCUCUUAACGAGAAGAUGACCCCAGCUGCUGUGACAGAGAAGGAAGUUUCUGCUGAUGAUUUCCAGGAAGAUGCUUUCAAUUCCACUGUUAAGGCUUCUGAUGCUCUCAACGAGAUGACCCCAGCUGCUGUGACAGAGAAGGAAGUUGCUGCUGCUGAUUUCAAGGAAGAUGCUCUCCAUUCCACCAUUAAGACUCCUGAUGCUCCUAACAAGAUGACACCAGCUGCGGUGACCGAGAAGGAUGUUGCUGCUGAUGAUAUUAAGGAAAAUGCUUUCAGUUCCACUGUUGAGACUGCUGAUGCUCCUACCAAGAUGAUCCCAGCUGCUGUUACAGAGAAGGAAGUCGCUGCUGAUGAUUCGCCGAAGAGUGAUCUGACAGAAGAGGAGAGUGACCUCAAUGGAGUGGGCAGUGAGGAGGAUGACCUCAGUGAGUACAGCAGCGAGGAGGAUGACCUCAGUGAGUACAGCAGCGAGGAGGAUGACCUCAGUGAGUACAGCAGCGAGGAGGAUUCCCUCGAGGAGGAGGAUAUGCAGAAGGUGAGCGACUCUGCUGUUGUGAACUUUUAUUCUGAUGAAGAGGAGGACCUCGAGGAUGAGGAUAUGCAGAAGGCUAACGACUCCACUGAAGCUAACUUUGAUUCUAAUGAAGAAGAGGAGGAUCUCAAGAUGCCGGAGACAGUUGAAGAGCCUAAAGAAAAUGAGGAGAGUGGAGAGGAAGACGAUUUCAGCGCUGAUCUGUCAUCAGAGUUUGACGAUGUUGAAUUCAGUGAUGCUGAAACUGAAAGCCACAGCUCUCAGGUGGCGCUUGAGGCAAUCCAUGCUACUCCUGCCUCAUCUGCAGCCAAGACUGCUGACUCUGCCACCACUAACAUGAGCUUAAGGAAGCUUAAAAGUGCUUUGAAGGAGGGUCUUGAAGAACUUGAAGCCAAGACUGUUGACUCUGUCAUCAUCGAAGAACUUGAAGAAUCCAGCGAGGGCAGUGAGGUUUCUCAGCACGCCGAGACCAUCGUCAAGACACUGCACAAGUUCACCAUCACUGAGGAGAAGAAUGAAGAGUGCGCAAAGCAAAACGUCGCCCUCACUAACAUGAGCCUAAGGAAGCUUAAGAGUGCUUUAAAGGAGGGUCUUAUUGCUGCCAAGGAAGGGAAGAACCUGGCCAUCACUGCCGAUGAAGGCAGCAGGGUGGCGCUCGCGGAGCUGGACGACAACGCUGAGUGCUGA